GAGGCAUCUGAAAUCCUUGGAAAGAAGGGCCUUGCUGACUCCCAGCUCUGGGUGGUGGUGCCCAAGGCAGUUUGCCUCAGGCAGUCCCUCUGUGACUUCCGAAAUCAUCAGAGCAAGCAAACCUGAAAUCUGGAUCAUCGGGUAUUUGGAAGAGUGAUAACUAUUUCAUAGGGUGUCAGUGUGACUAAGGAGAAGACAAUAUCACUUUGCUCUUGGCAAGAGCUGCUGGCAGAGAUUCAUGUCUCUGAGGAAGAAGCCAUUGUGACCUACUGCCCAGGCUGCAUGUCAGGAGCACCUGGGUACCACAUGCUCUCUCACUUUGCAAAGUUUAGGAUC